rnacentral:rRNA from 1 species
UCGUUGUAGCAAUACGAUGGAAAGUUUAGUGGCGAACGGGUGCUUAACACGUGGGCAACCUGCCAGGAAGUGGGGGAUAGCUCGCCGAAAGGCGAAUUAAUACCGCGUGUGAUUAGAGAGGACAUCCUUUCGAAAUUAAAGUCGGGGCAACCUGACGCUUCUUGUGGGGCCCGCGGCCUAUCAGCUAGUUGGUGAGGUAACGGCCCACCAAGGCUUUGACGGGUAGCUGGUCUGAGAGGACGACCAGCCACACUGGGACUGAGACACGGCCCAGACACCUACGGGUGGCAGCAGUCGAGAAUUUUUGACAAUGGGGGAAACCCUGAUCGAGCGACGCCGCGUGGAGGAUGAAGGUCUUCGGAUUGUAAACUUCUGUCAUUGGGGAACAAUGCACAGAUAUUAACUGUAUUUGUGUUGAUAGUACCCGAAGAGGAAGAGACGGCUAACUCUGUGCCAGCAGCCGCGGUAAUACAGAGGUCUCAAGCGUUGUUCGGAUUCAUUGGGCGUAAAGGGUGCGUAGGCGGCGCGGUAAGUCGGGUGUGAAAUCUCGGGGCUUAACUCCGAAACUGCAUUCGAUACUGCCGUGCUUGAGGACUGGAGAGGAGACUGGAAUUCACGGUGUAGCA